UGGGGGAAUAUUGGACAAUGGGCGCAAGCCUGAUCCAGCAAUGCCGCGUGUGUGAAGAAGGCCUUCGGGUUGUAAAGCACUUUUAUCAGGAGCGAAACGCUGUCGGCUAAUACCCGGCGGAACUGACGGUACCUGAGGAAUAAGCACCGGCUAACUUCGUGCCAGCAGCCGCGGUAAUACGAAGGGUGCAAGCGUUAAUCGGAAUUACUGGGCGUAAAGCGUGCGUAGGCGGUUUCUUAAGUCUGCUGUGAAAUCCCCGGGCUCAACCUGGGAAUGGCAGUGGAUACUGGGAGGCUAGAGUGUGUCAGAGGGUGGUGGAAUUCCCGGUGUAGCGGUGAGAUGCGUAGAGAUCGGGAGGAACAUCAGUGGCGAAGGCGGCCACCUGGGACAACACUGACGCUGAGGCACGAAAGCGUGGGGAGCAAACAGGAUUAGAUACCCUGGUAGUCCACGCCCUAAAGCGAUGCGAACUGGAUGUUGGUCUCAACUCGGAGAUCAGUGUCGAAGCUAACGCGUUAAGUUCGCCG
rnacentral:rRNA from 1 species